rnacentral:ncRNA from 1 species
GGUGUCCGCCUACUCCACUCAAUAGACGGGCAUACUAACGAAAAGGAGGUUACCCAACCCGCAAGGCUCGCGGUGCGGCAGUGUGGAGACCUGCCGUAAUGCGGUUCAUUCCAGGACGGCGCGGCCGAAUCCCCGAUUCGGGCGGACCAUCCUCCGGUUUGACGCGAGGGCACGGCAAAGGACCGCCGUGUUCAGGGCUGUACGCAAUGGCA